AAGUCGUAACAAGGUUUCCGUAGGUGAACCUGCGGAAGGAUCAUUAACACGUUUCGUUCCGAACGUUUUGACCCUCCUUAUUUUCCGUGCACCCAAACGCGUCCGGCCUCCCAGCCGCUCACUGGGUUUACUCAGUGUUGCCUGUUGGGCGUUUCUCGGGAUCAAAGAAGCAAGUUCAAGUUGACCUGACCGUUAAUCUGAGCUCGUUUCUUCCUGAGCGGCGUUGCCACCUCACCCAAACCCUUUAAUCUAACUGAUCUGAACUUUUAGUUGAUGCAGAAGAAACUUGUUUCUUCCAAAUUAACGACUUGAACAAACAACAACUCUUAACAACGGAUAUCUUGGUUCUC
rnacentral:misc_RNA from 1 species